CGUAACUUUAUGAAUUUGAAACCUCUGUUCUAGUAUUCUUAUCUCUUUCUUUUUCUUUAAGCUUAUACAGAUAUGAUUUCAUUAAGAGCAAGAAAUUGUUAUGAUAAGUCAACCAUCUUCUCAAUCAUCAGCAGACCAAUUUUAAAAGAUUGAACGAAUGCCUCAAGUUAGUUUUUCAAUAUGGCAAUGCCACAUUCUGGGAUUUAUGUCUUCAUCUUGUUACUCCGGAAGUCAGGAAGAAAAAGAAGAAGCCUUAACUUCUCAUUGCAGAGAGUUCGUUAAUUAACUCACAAGACACACCCAUGAUGGAAGCAUUAGAUAAGGAUGGUGACGAGAACUACCAGUUAUGGCUUGAAUCUGUGAUGUGAAAGAAAUUUGCAGCAUGACUCGAAUCCGGUGAUGUGAAAUAAAACUACAGCAUGGAGAUAAAGUUUAUAAAUGUCUAAUGAGAUAUGAAGAUUGUUUUGUGUAUACUUAGAGGUAGCUUUAAAGUGCUUCUGAUGAUGUAAAGUACGAUUUGUAUAUUUAUUUUCAUAUUUAUUAUUAAUUGUAAUUUUGCAAGCAUUGUUUGUAGUAUGUGUAUGUUAUAAAUCUUAAUAAAAGUGAAUUAUAUUUU